AAAGCCAGCUAGGGGAGUUCGCUAGAACUGAGACAGGUUAUCCUGAACCCUUUGAACCUGAUCCGGGUCGUACCGGCGUAGGGAAGCGGCGCGUACUCCGA
rnacentral:ncRNA from 2 species